rnacentral:lncRNA from 1 species
GUAGUGCACAGUAACAGGAGAGGGAGACCAUCAAGCAGCCAAGCCAUUGCAUCAGAUGGCUUCUUAUUUACUUGUAGCAGACCAUAUUAUAGGAAGGCAUGUGUGUGUGCAUGCCCUCAUCUUCAGCAGUUGCAGGGGUUGCACUUGCAGCUGGAGCCGCAGCUGCAGCCAUGGCCUGCCUCACCGGACUCGGCGUCCUUCUCGAACCCCACCUCGGAGGGCCUGCAACAGAAACAUAGCAGAUUUAGGCAUGGAACUUGAAGUCUGUUUCGAGUUCGAUAUCAAUCUUAGGUAACUUGGUGAAAAUUCAUACCCCUUCUCAGGUGCAACGCCGAGGACCAUGGCUGCUGGGGCGGUGGUGGUGCUCUUCUCAGCCAGGUCAGGGUACAUCUUUCUGCAUCCGGCAAAAGCAGCACGUAAAUUUUCAGAAACCAGAAAGCAUCAUCUUUGCUCAUAAUAUUUCUCCACAAUAAGUUACAGCUCCGAAACAAUGGAAGAAAAUUAGUAGUUCAGUAAAACAUGUUGAAAUCACUCCAAAUAGGUGGCACCUCUGAACCACUAAUCUCAGUUUAGCUUCACAUAUUCAUGACAGUGGUAUCAAACAUACCCGCAGCCGCCGCCGCAGCUGCAGCUCGAACCGCAGUUGCAACUUCCACCGCAAGACAUCUUCAGGAAUCUGGCCUCUUGUAACCUCAAGAACUUUUAUGCAAAGAGCGAGAGGAAGCUUGAGAUGUUGAGCACAGAGCAAUUGCCGAGGAGAGGGCAUAUGUGCCCCCAAUUUAUAGUGGUUGAGAGGCAAUCAAACAACUGCAUGGCGUCUGAGGCAUUUACAUGCCGUGACGCUAUUGGUUGGCCACUUGGCUGAAAUAGUGCAGGAAAAUACCAGU